UGCGUUUUUAGAUCUAGUUUUUUUUAUUUUUUUCUUUUUAUUUUACGAAAAUAAAAAUAAAAGGGAAGAGAAGAAACUUACCUAGGGCCGCAUGCAAGGUCCAUCGUCGGAACCGCCUUGGUCGGUGAAAUCGGGACCGGAGGGAGGCCGUGGGGGUUUCUCUUCUUUCGGCCUUCGAGCCCAGAGGCUUCGGCCUUUAAAUGGC
rnacentral:lncRNA from 1 species